rnacentral:lncRNA from 1 species
CCUUCUGUCAGGUGCAUCGCGAUCGUAUUUCGAGUUGCCCGAAAUGGUGUGUGAGAGCGGUGAGAGCUAAACACCCGCAGGAGUGUGCCUCAUACCCGUUUCUAAUCUGUCGGACAAAACACGACUGGUCUUCGGAGCGUCGACCUGAACCGGCGGACUCGGUACGUGACAUCUAAACACCCGCAGACGGUCGUUGCCGGUGGAAAUGCCCAGAUUGUCAACUCGCGGAAGCCAUUCAUCGACUCUUCCAGAGGAGUGAAUUCUCCCAACCUCCAGGCCAUGCAUCAUACCCGGUUCAAAUCUUCCGGACACAACACGAACGGGCUUAGGAGCGUCCUCCUGAAACCGGCGAACUCGGUACGUGACAGCUAAACACCUGCAGACGGACGCCAAAGAAGUAAAUUCCCUCC